GUUGAAUAGAAGUGGUGAAAGUGGGCAUCCUUGGCUUGUUCCAGUUCUCAGGGGGAAUGCUUUCAAGUUUUUGAUUCUCUUCGACAGCAGGUUAUAUUCUUCCAUUAUCCAGCAGGCUAUCCAGGGAUCAACUGGUUCUGACUGGCAGCUUGCCAUUAGAAGGGGGUGAACUACCUAUUAUGAUCCUGUAUUAAAUUAAUUGGAAAGAGUUUAUGUUUUCAGUAUUCCAGCAUGCUCGAAGUUUAAGAUGCAGACAAGGAAAACAAGGCAGCCUAGAGAACAUUUACCUUUGCAUAUUCUCAUACAAUUUUUAUCCAUUUUGCUUCUCUUAAUAAACUUUACACAAUCACUGCCUGGAAAUGUA
rnacentral:lncRNA from 1 species